UACAGAGGUCCCAAGCGUUGUUCGGAUUCAUUGGGCGUAAAGGGUGCGUAGGCGGCGCGGUAAGUCGGGUGUGAAAUCUCGAAGCUUAACUCCGAAACUGCAUUCGAUACUGCCGUGCUUGAGGACUGGAGAGGAGACUGGAAUUUACGGUGUAGCGGUGAAAUGCGUAGAUAUCGUAAGGAAGACCAGUGGCGAAGGCGGGUCUCUGGACAGUUCCUGAUGCUGAGGCACGAAGGCCAGGGGAGCAAACGGG
rnacentral:rRNA from 1 species